UCCCUGGUGGAUGGUGGGUUUGAAAUCAUCCUUCAGCGUGACCUCUGUGGUCAUCACCAACCGAGGAGACUGCUGCCCCGAUCGCCUGAACGGAGCGGAGAUUCGAGUCGGAAACUCACCCGUGAAGGGAGGCAGGACCAAUCCCAGAUGUGCCACCAUCGUCUGCAUGGGCUUCGGAGAGACUCGCUCCUUCCGUUGUGGGGGCAUGAGCGGGCGGAUGGCACCGAGGAGCACGGUUCGACCCCAGGAAUCAUCGAGGCAACCCACCCCCUUCUCCUAUGUGAAGAAGGGUCCCAGGAGGGGAUGCCCCAGAGAGACGGAGAGCUGCGGGUCCCACCCACCUCACCCACCCUUCCGCCACCCGGCCGCAGAGUCGGACAGUGUGCCACCCGGGUCUUGGUGUGCGAAAGGCAGAGGGAGAGAGCAGGUGAAAACAGGUUGUAUUUU